AAUGUACUCCUUCCGUUCCGAAAUAUUUGUCGGAGAGAUGGAUAAAAUUGGAUGUAUCUAUAACUUAAAUACGUCUAGAUAUAUCCAUUUUUUUGACAAGUAUUUUCAGACGGAGGGAGUAUUUA
rfam:Triticum aestivum genome assembly, contig: Triticum_aestivum_CS42_TGACv1_scaffold_034305_1BL